CUGGAGACAUAGAAAAUCAAUGUGCAACAAAGGGGAGCGCUUUGAACAUUGGAAAUGGAUAUCUCAAACAAUUUUACAUCAUUUCAUGCCAUUACAUCGAACUUGCGCUCAAUGUCCAAGAUUGGUAACUUUCCGAUGUGGUUCAAUUUCUAAAAAAAACGGAUUUAGGUGCGAUGGAGACCAACGACACGGAGGCACCGAGCGCCCAGCGACGAGCAGCUGUGACGGUGUUCCCGGUGAAGUACAGAGGGAUACCGGCGGCGGGGGACGGUAGGGCUAUACGUCCCUGUAGUCGGUGUCUUUCCAAUGAAGGAAGACGCAGGAGCCUCGGUCCACAGCGAUCUCCAUGGCCGAACGCGUCAUUAACGUUUUGAGAAUUCUGCGAAGAGGAGAAGGAAAAACCAAAAGUGUCCGGACGCACUUCGAGGCGAGGAGGAGCGCGAUAAUGCUGCAGAGAGGAGCCGCUCACGAUCCUGUGGGGAAAACAGAGAGGCAGAAAGACAGAUAGAGAGGAGGGGGGGGGACGAGAGAGAGAGAGAGAGAGAGAGAGAGAGAGAGAGAGAGAGAGAGAGAGAGAGAGAGAGAGAGAGAGAGAGAGAGAGAGAGAGAGAGAGAGAGAGAGAGAGAGAGAGAGAGAGAGAGAGAGAGAGAGAGAGAGAGAGAGAGAGAGAGAGAGAGAGAGAGAGAGAGAGAGAGAGAGAGAGAGAGAGAGAGAGAGAGAGAGAGAGAGAGAGAGAUCAGCACUGUGGACAGCUCAUGACGUGUUUACAUUACAUUCUAUUUUUGGUUUUACACUAUAACUCUUCAUAGCAUUUUUUUAUUGCCCAGAAAUAUAUAUAUCGAUACUAGAUAAUGCUGUGCUCGUAAAAUGGCUUAGUUUUUUUACCCAGUCCGUUGCAGAAGGUCAAGGUGGUGUUUUGGGUUUGUACAUGAAAGAUACAUCGAUCCCAACGUGUCGCUUAGGGAUGCUAGGUGAUGAGACACAUUCUUCAAAUGACCGGCCACGUGUGCUGUCGAUGCUCCAAUCAAAAAAGUCCUUGAACCAUCGAUACCAGUUGACGGACCCAAUUAUGCAAAGUGGGCGCACCUGCUCAUCUGCUCGCCUUCCAGCAAUCAACAGCUGCGCAGACACGGGACAGGUGCGGCGGCAAGCUCCGCUAAAUGAGGAGAUUGGUGAUAGGCUGAUGGUGCGGCGGGUACGCGGCACUACAGGGAAUAGUGCCGGGCCGAGGAAGAGAUGA
rnacentral:lncRNA from 1 species